rnacentral:rRNA from 1 species
UGGGGAAUUUUGGACAAUGGGGGCAACCCUGAUCCAGCCAUGCCGCGUGAGUGAAGAAGGCCUUCGGGUUGUAAAGCUCUUUCGGCCGGGAAGAAAUCGCACAGGCUAAUACCUUGUGUGGAUGACGGUACCGGAAUAAGAAGCACCGGCUAACUACGUGCCAGCAGCCGCGGUGAUACGUAGGGUGCGAGCGUUAAUCGGAAUUACUGGGCGUAAAGCGUGCGCAGGCGGUUUUGUAAGACAGGCGUGAAAUCCCCGGGCUCAACCUGGGAACUGCGCUUGUGACCGCAAGGCUAGAGUACGGCAGAGGGGGGUGGAAUUCCACGUGUAGCAGUGAAAUGCGUAGAGAUGUGGAGGAACACCGAUGGCGAAGGCAGCCCCCUGGGCCGAUACUGACGCUCAUGCACGAAAGCGUGGGUAGCAAACAGGAUUAGAUACCCUGGUAGUCCACGCCCUAAACGAUGUCAACUAGGUGUUGGGUGGGUAAAACCAUUUAGUACCGUAGCUAACGCGUGAAGUUGACCGCCUGGGGAGUACGGCCGCAAGGUUA